rnacentral:lncRNA from 1 species
AAUAACACACUGCUUCUACUGCUGCUGUUCUGUUCCUCCUUCCUUCCAUCCACCCCUCCCUGGGUCUGGUCUCUGGGUUGGACUGUCGGUGUGCUUCUGAUUAAAGACAAUGAUACGGACCCGGAGAUGAAGAGUGCCAGGAGAACCUAUCAGAGAGCACUGGGUGUAAGGGAUUGGUGGAUGUGAAGUGCACCUGGUCAUUGAAGUGCGUUAGCAGAUCCCAGUAUGUCCCCUAGUCUUGUGAACAAGGGAUGAAAAGGAGAGAAAAAAAGGUCUGAUGAGUUUGGCAAAGGGAGGAUGGAGGGGGAGACAGAUGGCAUGAAGUCUGUGUGGCUCUGGCCUGGCGCUAAAAUCCUCCUCUCUCACAUUCCAACAAAUCCUAGCAGGAGGCUGGGGAGUCUGCCACACCACUCAGUGGAUCCACGGGGUUCUCUCUGCGUCUCUCUCCUCGCUCCCCUGCACCCCUCGUAAGUCCCUGACCAAGGGUGUCAGCCCCCCAAUACCAUAUAACCACACCUAUAAAUAUAUUAAAGGGAUACUUCAGGAUUAAAGAGGCCCUUUAUCUACUUGCCC